GGGAAUGUAGCUCAAAUGGUAGAGCACUUGCUUUGUAUGUGAGAUGCACGGGGUUCUAUCCUUCGCAUCUCUA
rnacentral:tRNA from 1 species